GCCGAGGUCGCAUAACCAGGUAGUGCGCCAGACUUGAGAUCUGGUGCCCGUAAGGGCUUGGGAGUUCAAAUCUCUCCCUCGGCG
rnacentral:tRNA from 1 species